CCUACGGGCGGCAGCAGUGGGGAAUAUUGCACAAUGGGGGGAACCUUGAUGCAGCAACGCCGCGUGGGUGAAGAAGUACUCCGGUAUGUAAAGCCCUGUCAGCAGGGAAGAAAAUGACGGUACCUGACCCAGAAGCCCCGGCUAACUACGUGCCAGCAGCCGCCGUAAUACGUAGGGAGCAAGCGUUAUCCGGAUUUACUGGGUGUAAAGGGAGCGUAGACGGCAAUGCAAGUCUGGAGUGAAAGCGCGUGGGCCAACCACGGGACUGCUUUGGAAACUGUGUUGCUGGAGUGCAGGAGGGGUAAGCGGAAUGCGUAGUGUAGCGGUGAAAUGCGUAGAUAUUAGGAGGAACUCCGGUGGCGAAGGCGGCUUACUGGACUGUAACUGACGUUGAGGCUCGAAGGCGUGGGGAGCAAACAGGAUUAGAUACCCCUGUAGUC
rnacentral:rRNA from 1 species